rnacentral:ncRNA from 1 species
UGAUGAGAACUGUCCUUAGUACGAGAGGACCAGGAUGGACAAACCGAUGGUGUUCCAGUUGUUCUGCCAAGAGCAUAGCUGGGUAGCCAAGUUUGGACGGGAUAACCGCUGAAAGCAUCUAAGCGGGAAGCCCCCUCAAAGAUGAAUAUUCCCUUUAAAUUCCUUAUAGACUAUGAGGUUGAUAGGCUGGAGGUGUAAGUACAGUAAUGUAUUCAGCUGACCAGUACUAAUAAAUUGAACGAUUUAAUAGU